AGUCGAACGAUGAACCACUUCGGUGGGGAUUAGUGGCGAACGGGUGAGUAACACGUGGGCAAUCUGCCCUGCACUCUGGGACAAGCCCUGGAAACGGGGUCUAAUACCGGAUACGAGUUUCACAGGCAUCUGUGAUUCUGGAAAGCUCCGGCGGUGCAGGAUGAGCCCGCGGCCUAUCAGCUUGUUGGUGAGGUAACGGCUCACCAAGGCGACGACGGGUAGCCGGCCUGAGAGGGCGACCGGCCACACUGGGACUGAGACACGGCCCAGACUCCUACGGGAGGCAGCAGUGGGGAAUAUUGCACAAUGGGCGAAAGCCUGAUGCAGCGACGCCGCGUGAGGGAUGACGGCCUUCGGGUUGUAAACCUCUUUCAGCAGGGAAGAAGCGCAAGUGACGGUACCUGCAGAAGAAGCGCCGGCUAACUACGUGCCAGCAGCCCGGGUAAUUCCA
rnacentral:rRNA from 1 species